rnacentral:rRNA from 1 species
UACGUAGGGGGCAAGCGUUGUCCGGAAUUAUUGGGCGUAAAGAGCGCGUAGGCGGUCUGAUAAGUCGGUUGUGAAAGUCGGGGGCUCAACCCUCGGAUGCCGAUCGAUACUGUCAGGCUAGAGUCCGGAAGAGGCGAGUGGAAUUCCUGGUGUAGCGGUGAAAUGCGCAGAUAUCAGGAGGAACACCAAUUGCGAAGGCGGCUUACUGGUCCGGUUCUGACGCUGAGGCGCGAAAGCGUGGGGAGCAAACAGG